GGACCCGCACAAGCAGCGGAGCAUGUGGUUUAAUUCGAAGCAACGCGAAGAACCUUACCAGGGCUUGACAUGCCUCUGACCGUUCUAGAGAUAGAACUUUACCUUCGGGUACAGAGGACACAGGUGGUGCAUGGUUGUCGUCAGCUCGUGUCGUGAGAUGUUGGGUUAAGUCCCGCAACGAGCGCAACCCUUGCCUUUAGUUGCCAUCAUUAAGUUGGGCACUCUAGAGGGACUGCCGAUGACAAAUCGGAGGAAGGUGGGGAUGACGUCAAAUCAUCAUGCCCUUUAUGUCCUGGGCUACACACGUGCUACAAUGGUCGGUACAACGAGCAGCUACCUAGCGAUAGGAUGCAAAUCUCUAAAAGCCGAUCCCAGUUCGGAUUGCAGGCUGCAACUCGCCUGCAUGAAGUUGGAGUUGCUAGUAAUCGCGAAUCAGAAUGUCGCGGUGAAUGCGUUCCCGGGUCUU
rnacentral:rRNA from 1 species